rnacentral:rRNA from 1 species
UGGGGAAUUUUGGACAAUGGGCGAAAGCCUGAUCCAGCAAUGCCGCGUGUGUGAAGAAGGCCUUCGGGUUGUAAAGCACUUUUGUCCGGAAAGAAAUCCUUGGCUCUAAUACAGUCGGGGGAUGACGGUACCGGAAGAAUAAGCACCGGCUAACUACGUGCCAGCAGCCGCGGUAAUACGUAGGGUGCAAGCGUUAAUCGGAAUUACUGGGCGUAAAGCGUGCGCAGGCGGUUUGCUAAGACCGAUGUGAAAUCCCCGGGCUCAACCUGGGAACUGCAUUGGUGACUGGCAGGCUAGAGUAUGGCAGAGGGGGGUAGAAUUCCACGUGUAGCAGUGAAAUGCGUAGAGAUGUGGAGGAAUACCGAUGGCGAAGGCAGCCCCCUGGGCAAUACUGACGCUCAUGCACGAAAGCGUGGGGAGCAAACAGGAUUAGAUACCCUGGUAGUCCACGCCCUAAACGAUGUCAACUAGUUGUUGGGGAUUCAUUCCUUAGUAACGUAGCUAACGCGUGAAGUUGACCGCCUGGGGAGUACGGUCGCAAGAUU